rnacentral:rRNA from 1 species
GAUGAACGCUGGCGGCGUGCCUAAUACAUGCAAGUCGAGCGAAUGGAUUAAGAGCUUGCUCUUAUGAAGUUAGCGGCGGACGGGUGAGUAACACGUGGGUAACCUGCCCAUAAGACUGGGAUAACUCCGGGAAACCGGGGCUAAUACCGGAUAACAUUUUGAACCGCAUGGUUCGAAAUUGAAAGGCGGCUUCGGCUGUCACUUAUGGAUGGACCCGCGUCGCAUUAGCUAGUUGGUGAGGUAACGGCUCACCAAGGCAACGAUGCGUAGCCGACCGGGGAGGGUGAUCGGCCACACUGGGACUGAGACACGGCCCAGACCCCUACGGGAGGCAGCAGUAGGGAAUCUUCCGCAAUGGACGAAAGUCUGACGGAGCAACGCCGCGUGAGGGAUGAAGGCUUUCGGGUCGUAAAACUCUGUUGUUAGGGAAGAACAAGUGCUAGUUGAAUAAGCUGGCACCUUGACGGUACCUAACCAGAAAGCCACGGCUAACUACGUGCCAGCCGCCGCAGUAA